rnacentral:tRNA from 1 species
GCCCUGGUGGUGAAAUUGGUAGACACAAGGGAUUUAAAAUCCUCGACGUUCGCGUCGUGCCGGUUCAAGUCCGGCCCGGGGCACCA